rnacentral:ncRNA from 2 species
ACGUGCUCCGGGGUCGGUGAAAAUCCGAACCGGCGGUCAUAGUCCGCGACCCUCACGGCGACGUCGAACGUUUCGUCACCACGAGGUUGAACCGGUGGAACUCCGGUACCGACGGUGAAAGUCCGGAUGAGAGGAAGCACGG